rnacentral:rRNA from 1 species
CACGUAGGGCGCAAGCGUUGUCCGGAAUUAUUGGGCGUAAAGAGCUCGUAGGUGGUUUGUUACGUCUGCUGUGAAAUCCUAGGGCUUAACCCUGGGCUUGCAGUGGAUACGGGCAGACUAGAGGUAGGUAGGGGAGAAUGGAAUUCCUGGUGUAGCGGUGAAAUGCGCAGAUAUCAGGAGGAGCACCGGUGGCGAAGGCGGUUCUCUGGGCCUUACCUGACACUGAGGAGCGAAAGCGUGGGGAGCGAACAGG